CUCCCACCCCUCAGUCCAGAUUUAGAUCUCAGUCUCUCCAAGGUGCUAGGACCCAGCUGUCCAAAGGACAGUAUUCCCCCACCAAACUCUUUGUUCUGCACUUCCUGUUCCUUCUCCUGGCUCUGUUCACUAUGCCUGUACUCUUUUGUCUUCAUCACCGCCUUAUUUGAGAUGGUGGCCGGAUCUCGCUUGCCUCUCUGCACUGACUGUGGUGCUCUUUGAUGCCCACGACUUGGGCAGUCACGUUGGUUCCACAGAGGUAGAUCUCCCAGUCUUCUUGGCCAUGGAGCCCUUUGCAGAGGUCCCCUUGUUUGAGAUGGAUGAGUAUGAAGAAGAGGAAGUCCUCGCCAUGAGGAGCAAAGGUGUCUGCACAUAUGCUACAUACCCCAUGACGCCUCCUGCAGGAACAGACCCUGACACCUACAUUUACAUGAACUUCAUGAAGAGUCACAGUUGCUACGAUGCCAUGCCCAGAAGCUCCAAACUGGUCAUCUUUGACACAACGCUGCAGGUAAAGAAGGCUUUCUUUGCUCUGGUGGCAAACGGUGUGAGGGCCGCACCACUGUGGGACAGCAAGCUGCAGUGUUUUGUAGGUAUGCUAACUAUUACGGACUUCAUUAACAUCCUCCAUCGUUACUACAAGUCUCCUCUGGUUCAGAUCUACGAACUGGAAGAACACAAGAUAGAAACAUGGAGAGAAAUCUAUCUACAGUAUUCAGUAAACAGACUCAUCAGCAUCAAACCCGAGUCCAGUUUGUUUGAUGCCAUCUACUCGCUGUUAAAGAAUAAGAUCCAUCGGCUGCCUGUUAUUGACCCAGCUUCUGGAAAUGUCCUCCACAUUCUGACUCACAAGCGCAUCCUCAAGUUCCUUCACAUCUUUGGAUCCAUGAUUCCUAAACCCAGGUUCCUUCAAAAGCAGAUCAACGAGGUGCCAAUUGGUACGUUUAGACAGAUUGCCACAGUCCAGGAAUCUGCUUCUGUCUACGACGCUCUGGCUAUUUUUGUGGAGAGAAGAGUAUCAGCCCUGCCUGUAGUUAAUGAGCAAGGUAAAGUGGUGGCACUGUACUCCAGAUUUGAUGUCAUUAAUCUUGCUGCCCAAAAGAAUUACAACAAUCUAAACAUGACAAUGAAAGAGGCUAUUUCAUCAAGAUCCUGCUGGAUGGAAGGUGUCCUCAAGUGUUAUCCACAUGAAACACUGGAGACCAUCAUUGACCGCAUAGCAAAGGCUGAGGUUCAUCGACUAGUUUUGGUCGACAGUGAAGAUGUGGUGAGAGGGAUUGUCUCUCUGUCUGAUAUUCUGCAAGCCCUGGUUCUCACUCCUGCAGGUAUUGAUGCUCUGUACUCGUAACAACAGCCUUCCUUCCAUCAUCCUCUUCUCCUUCCACCCUUCGUGUGCCUAUCUAUCUACCUUCUGGUCUUCCAACUUCACAAUCCUCCUGCACCUUCUGACAAAACUUGAAACCACAUGAGUUUUCUCCUUUGUCAAAUCCUGACAUGUCUCUUAUCCAACGGAAUUUCCUUUUAGCCUUCUUCUUGCUUUCCUGCCAAUGAACAAAACUUUCUGCUAAAUAAUGUUACUUGACCUCACUGGCAGAACUUUAACUUGGAACCAUGAAAACAUGUAUGUGCCAGCAUUAUCUCACUUUCUAGAAAAGAAAACAACCAGGGCAAAUUGCUUCUAUCCAUCCAUCCAUCUUCCUUCCUUCCUUCCUUCCUUCCUUCCUUCCUUCCUUCCUUCCUUCCUUCCUUCCUGACUGAAGCAGACACUGGUUUGAAAGGCCUGGACACCCUUUCAAACGAGGAAACCACCUGAACUGAGCCCUUCUGAUGUGGAGUAGCAGCAACUCCACUUUGAACGCCCCAUGCCCAGAUAACAGAGCUUUCAAUCAUGUCUGGUGACAUUAGGGAGAACACUCUUCCCUUACUUGUGUCUGGAUCUUGUUCUUUCAGUAACAAUCUGUUUCCUAUGACGAUCGAUGAGUGUUAGAAUGUAGAGAUCUGCAAAUCCAGCUUCAUUUAUGGCUCAGUUCUUUUUUCCCUACAACAAACCUGGGGUCUCAUUUAUAAAACAUUGCGUAGGGUCGAUACUAAAAAUUUGUGUAUGCCCAAAUGGCAAAAAUUGGGUAUGCCAAAAUAAAUCCUGAAUUCUAAAAUUCGCAAUUUUUUUCUUUUUAACUGCUACUGCUUCAGAACAUCUACGUUCCAGUUUCCUCCUCAUGUUCUGUCCUUUACAUACCCAUAUUUAACCAUGAAUGGUCAAUGCAAAGCACCUCAUCAAUGUUAAUGUCUAUUUGAUGAGUCAGCUGAUCAUUAUUUCCUGGUUAAUUAUAGAAAAUAACCAAAAAAAAGCAAAGACAGACAGAAAUUUAUUAAACACGUGAAUCAGAGGUAAAAGCACAGAUGUUGUCCAUAUUAAAAGAACUUGUUAAAAAGUGAACCUCAUUGCUGUCUUUAACCUCCUCACAUUCUGAGUAGGAUGAAGGCCACGACAGACGCCCCCCAUAGAGUAUAGAGUAGGAGAGAUGAAGUCCCCCCUCCCAACACCCCGACUUAUCAACUACCACCACUGGCAUUUUAGAAAACCUAGGGCACGCUCCACAGGUGAGCGCAGGUGGGUGUGGGCAAUAUUAAACCACAUGUCCUCUGCGCUCUGUGGUUUAGAGAGUGGGUUAGGACCCAGCACCUGGGGGGUAACCAAGGUCUCCUGCAAGUUACAGCAGAAUGCAAUUCUCUAGGGAGCCUGAAUCAGCAUAUUAGCCAGUCAUCAUCAUGGGACAGGAAAACGUGUUUCCUCCUAAUUCUCCCAUUUGGUGGUGUGUAUCCCACACGAGUGUCACAGCAGAAUAUAAAUGUUUACUGUGAUUGGAGUGACUUGCUCACACCUUGUCACAGUUUGUUAAUCUGUGGUACACGUCACCCUGGUGAUCAUCAGGGAGAGGGAUGUGAUGGUAGAAACAUUUAAAAUGAAUUAUGGGCCUUAUUAUAUUAAUUUGAAAGGCCUUUAUGGAUAGUUAUGUGUCACCAGUGCAAGCAUAAUGACACUGUGGUUUUGAAUGCUUAUGAUAAAGUUUAUCUAUGAUUAUAGUCUGUUAUGGAGUGAAAUUGAAUGUCUCAAAGGAAUCAUGAUGCAGUUUGGCUGCAAUUCAACACUUUACCAUCUGUGUCACCAAUAUCUCCUGUCUCUGAGACGAGUGUACACAUGGGUCAGAGUUGUCAAGAGCAACCACGCAUUCUGAUGUCAAGUUUUUAUUAUAGAUAACUGCCUUUGCGUGGAAAGUGAUGUACGCAAGAUUUAUAAACAAGACCCCAGAGCAGUGACUGUAUGACUGCUUAGCUUCAGUCUGUCUGUCUUCGGAAGGUAGAGACCAAUCCCCAUCAGGAGGCAACAGUCAUUUCCCUUGUUCAGAACCGGUUAGUCUCAAAUAUAGAAGAGUUGACUCUCAUGAAUCAAAAGCUUGCAUUUUCCAUGACUGGGAAAAUGUCUACUAAAACCUCAAACUUCUUAUCACUUUAUUUAUGCUCAGCUUAAAGCAUCUUUCUGACAUCUCCCCUAAGAGCCAAGACAUAUUCCCCCACCCUCAUAAAAAAAAACCCUCUCACCAAUCAGCCUCUUCAGUCUUCACAUGAACCAUCAACAUCCUUACCUCGAAUGUGCAUCUCUACUUUCUCGAGCAAGUGUCAUCACUUCCUUCUCCAAAAGUGCCAGCUUUUCACAGAUAUUUACAAGUGGCCAACCUUUCAAGUGUGAAGAAAAACAGAUGGCGGCUGAUGAUGUAAAACAGGACGAUAACAUGACAGAAUAAAGCCCAGUGGAGAAGAGCUUUACAACAGCCAAGGAGCAGAAUGUGAAAAGUGAAGACAGACAAAUUCAGCUUCUACAUGAGGUUGACUGUCCAUUUCAUGUCUAAGAUAAAGCUUCCUGACGGGUAACAGAGGAAGAACGGGGAAAAUGUUCAUGUAAACACCAUAAAACUGACUUUGAUUUAAAAGAACAAUACUUAAGAUAUUUACUGUAAAAUUUACCAAAAUCAUUCUCAUUUGACACCCAGGAUGGAAGUAACAUUCCCUAUAAACAAUUGGUCCUCUCCAUCAAAUAUCUCUUAGUCAAGUUUUCUCCACUCAAAAUUAGAGGUAUAUAGUCAGAAACUACUUUGGUACUUCGGUGCCAAACAUAUAAAAGUUUCAAGGGUUCCCAAAACAGAGCGCAGUAUUUGGUAUUUAUCUUGGCAAAAGAUCAGCAGACUGCUAACAUAGAAGCUAGUGAGUGAAGCGGACCAGAAGUAGAUCAACAUAUACCUAUCCUGUGGAAGUAAAAAUUCAGUGGGGUUUCCCAGCAGCAAUGGACCAUUGAAGAAACGGUUAUUGACGGUGGCAAGCUGUUAUCCUGAAUUUGAAACACUAGAAGUCAUUAUUACUUACUGUUCCUUUAAGACACAUUUGUAGCCAAAUGGUGGAUACAGCAUGGUGAAAGGAAAUAAUUAUUCCCGUUAGAGCUGUGACGAUGUUCCCUGAAAUAUACUUACAGUUCUACCACUGUGAAAAAUAAAUAUGUUGUGCUUUGGUUACUGAGUACUGAAUCAUUUUCAUUUUAAAACAAUAAAACAUCUUGCAAUUUG